rnacentral:lncRNA from 1 species
CAUUGUGUGUCUUCUCUGCCAAUGGCAGAAGUCUUUAGCCAGUCUUAUCCCAAAUGAGGGUUGUGUUAAUUUACACAUUAGUGUGAGCUGGUGGAAGUGGCUGAACUGAAUCUGUCCAGCAAGACUUGAGGAUACGCAAAUGGAGAGAAGAAAGGAAGAGGAGGAAGAAGAGGAGGCAUAACAAAAAACCAAAGGGUUUUGAACUCGAACAUACAGUCUCGAAGUCUUGGCCUGAAAAUUUUUAAGUGCAGAAGGGUUUUUACUGCCUAACACAUGUUUUAUGAAGUAAGUAUAGU